GCACUAAGUCACAUAGCUGUUGCAGGCGACAGCACGGUGUGUAGCGGGACAACUGAUUGCAAAUAUCUUGGUGCUUUUCAGGUAUAAAGGUUUGCAAAAUUUGUCUUAUACAUCCAGGAUUGCAUUAGCAGAACGCAAAGACAGACGGAACAGUCAUCGGUAGCAUGUCUGGCUGCAUCACUGGAGGCCAGGAGACUGAUCCGUCACCUAGUUCCAGCCAACAUGAUCAACCUACAUCGAGU